GCUGGGCGUGGUGGCGCAUGCCUGCAAUCUCAGAAACUUGGGAGGCAGAGGCAGGAGAACUGCAGGUUUAAGGUCAGACCCAGCAUCUUAGAGAUGCCCUAUACAACAUUGUGAGUCCCUGUCUCAA
rnacentral:sRNA from 1 species